rnacentral:lncRNA from 1 species
AAAGUCGCUUCCUAUCUGAGUUCAUGAGAGCAGGAAGUGUGAAGAAAUGAAAAGAACACCAGACCCCGACACCAGAUGCCAAAAUAUAUACAUCUUCUCAGUAGACAGAAGGGGGAAGAUGCUAAUAUGGGCUCUACAAAGAUCAUCUAAUUUGAUCCCCACAACAACCCUUGAGAGAUCCUACAGCUGGAUAUAUAUCCCAAGAGGUCAAAGAGAGAAAGAAAGGUUCCAUGUACACCAAGAUAUUCAUCGUAGCACUUUAUGUGGUAACAGAGAUUGUAAACAAAGUAGAUGUCCAUUGACUGGGGAAACUGUGGUAUAAGUGUAAUGGAAUGUUUUUGCACAAUAAGGAUAUGAUUAUUUCAGAGAAGGAUGAGAAGAGUUAUAUUAAAUGAUGCAAAAUAAAGUGGGCAAAACCAGAAACA